rnacentral:tRNA from 1 species
GGCCAGUUAGCUCAGUUGGUUAGAGUGUGGUGUUGAUAACACCAAGGUCGCAGGUUCAAUACCCAUUCCA